rnacentral:piRNA from 1 species
UGGAAUCAAACCUCCUUUGGC